rnacentral:lncRNA from 1 species
UCAGUGAGAAUUGGGGCCCUCAUGCCUACGUAUCCUCAUAGUGCCAUGAGGAAUUCAGAGCUUCGUAGUUCAAGGAACUAGAGGCAGGAGGUGGAAAGAAGUGUGAUAGAAUGUAUGAUUUGAGCCAAAGAAUAGUGUGAUUUGAACUCCAACAAGGGAUGAAAAUGUGAACCCAAGAGUAAAACUGGUGUGAACCAAC